UUCUUAUUGUCUUAUAUUGUAGGUAGCCCCUGCCCAAUGCUUCUGUAAAUGGCCGCAGUAUACCUAACUGUGCUAAGGUAGCAUAAUUACUUGUCAUUUAAUUAAUGUCUUGUUUGAAAGGGUGAGUAUUUGAUGAGGGUAAGUAUUGUUUUUCCUUCUUUUUGAAAUUUUAAUUCUUUUAAAAAUAAAGGAGUUAUUAAAAAAGACGAGAAGACCCUAAGAGCUUAAAAUUUUUAUUUUUGAAUGGGGCAUUUUGACUAUCAGCUAGUUGUUUUCGAACUUUUUAAGAGAAAAGGUAAAGUUACCUUAGGGAUAACAGUGUAAUCUUUUUUGAGAGCUCGUAUUGAGAAAAUGGUUUGCUACCUCGAUGUUGAAUCAAAAUUACUAAGUGGUUGUAGGGGCUACAAUAGUGUGUCUGUUCGACAUUUAAAAUUUUACG
rnacentral:rRNA from 1 species